rnacentral:rRNA from 1 species
CUUGACAAACUUAUAAGAGGUCCAGCCUGCCCAGUGACUCUGUUCAACGGCCGCGGUAUCCUAACCGUGCGAAGGUAGCGUAAUCACUUGUUCUUUAAAUGAGGACUAGUAUGAAUGGCACCACGAAGGUUAUACUGUCUCCUUUUUCUAAUCAGUGAAACUAAUCUUCCCGUGAAGAAACGGGAAUAAAAAUAUAAGACGAGAAGACCCUAUGGAGCUUUAAACAAAUAUACACCUGCCUCUUUACCAAAAAAUUUCAGAAGACAAGUAGUUAUCCAGGCAUUUUGAUAUAGCGUUUUAGGUUGGGGUGACCGCGGAGCAAAAAAUAACCUCCGCAGCGAACGGGAGUAUUCCCUAAACUAAGGGCCACAACCCCAAGUAUUGAUAAAUCAACACUAAUUGACCCA